CCUACGGGGGGCUGCAGUGGGGAAUAUUGGACAAUGGGGGGAACCCUGAUCCAGCCAUGCCGCGUGUGUGAAGAAGGCCCUCGGGUUGUAAAGCACUUUCAGUGAGGAAGAACGCCUGGUGGUUAAUACCCAUCAGGAAAGACAUCACUCACAGAAGAAGCACCGGCUAACUCCGUGCCAGCAGCCGCGGUAAUACGGAGGGUGCGAGCGUUAAUCGGAAUUACUGGGCGUAAGCGCGCGUAGGUGGCUUGAUAAGCCGGUUGUGAAAGCCCCGGGCUCAACCUGGGAACGGCAUCCGGAACUGUCAAGCUAGAGUGCAGGAGAGGAAGGUAGAAUUCCCGGUGUAGCGGUGAAAUGCGUAGAGAUCGGGAGGAAUACCAGUGGCGAAGGCGGCCUUCUGGACUGACACUGACACUGAGGUGCGAAAGCGUGGGUAGCAAACAGGAUUAGAUACCCCGGUAGUC
rnacentral:rRNA from 1 species